CAAUAGCGUAUAUUAGCGUUGUUGCAGUUAAAAAGCUCGUAGUUGGAUUUCUGGAGGGAGCGUCGGCCCGUAUUUACGAGUGCGUGACGUCUCUGUCCAUCCUUGCGGGAAGGCACGGCAUUGAUUUGUUGUGUCGGAUCGCAUCAUUUACUGUGAAAAAAUUAGAGUGUUCAAAGCAGGCUUUCGCUUGAAUACAUUAGCAUGGAAUAAUAAGAUAGGACUUUGGUGCUAUUUUGUUGGUUGAGCCUAAAGUAAUGAUUAAUAGGGAUAGUUGGGGGCACCUGUAUUGCGUUGUCAGAGGUGAAAUUCUUGGAUUUACGCAAGACAAACAGCUGCGAAAGCGUCUGCCAAGGAUGUUUUCAUUAA
rnacentral:rRNA from 1 species